rnacentral:RNase_P_RNA from 1 species
AGUGAGUCGGGCAACCGCGCCGCGUGCGGUGAGGAAAGUCCGGGCUUCAAAAGGCAAGAUGCCAGCUAACGGCUGGGCGGGGUGACCCGACGGAUAGUGCCACAGAAAAGAAAACUCCUGGUCUGAGACGUCUCAAGACAUCAUCAGCAGGUAUUCCCCUGCGAUGUCGGUUGAUUCUGAGGCGCAUUCAGCGCUUCAGAUCUGCGUGAAGGAUGAACGAGCAGCCUUGGCUGCGCUGUGAGUGAGUCCUAACGCUGAGAUGAUGUGCUGAGGCGCCUCAGGCUGUGGAAAAGCUGAAACGGUGCGGUAAGAGCGCACCAGCAUGCUGGUAACAGUAUGGCUUGGUAAACCCCAUCUGAAGCAAGCGCAAAUAGGAGUGCGAUACGGUCGCCUUUCCGUGCAUUCGGGUUGCGUGCUAGAGCUUCUUGGUAACAGGAAGUCGAGAUAAAUGGUUGCCGAUCACAGAACCCGGCUUAUAGACUCACUCC